UUUGCGUCGAAGGUAUACCGGUAAGGAGUGCUGGAGCGAAUAGAAGUGAGCAUGCAGGCAUGAGUAGCGAUAAUUAAUGUGAGAAUCAUUAACGCCGUAAACCCAAGGUUUCCUACGCGAUGCUCGUCAUCGUAGGGUUAGUCGGGUCCUAAGUCGAGUCCGAAAGGGGUAGACGAUGGCAAAUUGGUUAAUAUUCCAAUACCAACAUUAGUGUGCGAUGGAAGGACGCUUAGGGCUAAGGGGGCUAGCGGAUGGAAGUGCUAGUCUAAGGUCGUAGGAGGUUAUACAGGCAAAUCCGUAUAACAAUACUCCGAGAACUGAAAGGCUUUUUGAAGUCUUCGGAUGGAUAGAAGAACCCCUGAUGCCGUCGAGCCAAGAAAAGUUUCUAAGUUUAGCUAAUGUUGCCCGUACCGUAAACCGACACAGGUGGGUGGGAUGAGUAUUCUAAGGCGCGUGGAAGAACUCUCUUUAAGGAACUCUGCAAAAUAGCACCGUAUCUUCGGUAUAAGGUGUGGUUAGCUUUGUAUUAGGAUUUACUCCGAAAGCAAGGAAACUUACAACAAAGAGUCCCUCCCGACUGUUUACCAAAAACACAGCACUCUGCUAACUCGUAAGAGGAUGUAUAGGGUGUGACGCCUGCCCGGUGCUCGAAGGUUAAUUGAUGGGGUUAGCAUUAGCGAAGCUCUUGAUCGAAGCCCGAGUAAACGGCGGCCGUAACUAUAACGGUCCUAAGGUAGCGAAAUUCCUUGUCGGUUAAAUACCGACCUGCAUGAAUGGCGUAACGAGAUGGGAGCUGUCUCAAAGAGGGAUCCAGUGAAAUUGUAGUGGAGGUGAAAAUUCCUCCUACCCGCGGCAAGACGGAAAGACCCCGUGGACCUUUACUACAGCUUGACACUGCUACUUGGAUAAGAAUGUGCAGGAUAGGUGGGAGGCUUUGAGUAUAUGACGCCAGUUGUAUAUGAGCCAUUGUUGAGAUACCACUCUUUCUUAUUUGGGUAGCUAACCAGCUUGAGUUAUCCUCAAGUGGGACAAUGUCUGGUGGGUAGUUUGACUGGGGCGGUCGCCUCCCAAAUAAUAACGGAGGCUUACAAAGGUUGGCUCAGAACGGUUGGAAAUCGUUCGUAGAGUAUAAAGGUAUAAGCCAGCUUAACUGCAAGACAUACAAGUCAAGCAGAGACGAAAGUCGGUCUUAGUGAUCCGGUGGUUCUGUGUGGAAGGGCCAUCGCUCAAAGGAUAAAAGGUACCCCGGGGAUAACAGGCUGAUCUCCCCCAAGAGCUCACAUCGACGGGGAGGUUUGGCACCUCGAUGUCGGCUCAUCGCAUCCUGGGGCUGGAGCAGGUCCCAAGGGUAUGGCUGUUCGCCAUUUAAAGCGGUACGCGAGCUGGGUUCAGAACGUCGUGAGACAGUUCGGUCCCUAUCUGCCGUGGGCGUAAGAAGAUUGAAGAGAUUUGACCCUAGUACGAGAGGACCGGGUU
rnacentral:rRNA from 1 species